rnacentral:rRNA from 1 species
CCCUUAGAUGUUCUGGGCUGCACGCGUGCUACACUGAUUUUUUCAACAAGUGUUUUAACUGGAGAGUUUGCGUAAUCCUGAAAUGUUAUCGUGAUGGGAGUAGAGUAUUGUAUUUGUUAAUCUUUAACGAGGAAUUCCUAGUAAGUGUAGGUUUAUAAGUUGUUCUGAUUACGUCCCUGCCCUUUGUACACACCGCCCGUCGCUCCUACCGAUUGAUUGAUCCGGUGAAUUACAUAGAAUUUUGCGUUUUACAUGACGGAAGACGAAGUGUUUUAAACCUUAUCAUUUAGAGGAAGGAGAAGUCGUAACA